rnacentral:lncRNA from 1 species
GGUCAGGUCUGUGGGUCUUGCCACCCCACUGGGGCAGGAGACUUGGCAGGAAGACUAUCCCUCCAGUGCCUGUGUUUGUUUUUUCCUAGCACACUGAUGCUGGCAGGGAUCUCAGCCAAGAAUGAGGCCAUCUACCAAUGUGUGGCAGAGAACAGUGCAGGCUCCAACCAGGCUAGUGCCCGCCUGGCUGUGACAGGAGACCUUGAGCCACCCCCUGCCUCCAAGGGUCUGCAGGCAGUGGCUCUCUCCCCUUCUGCCAUCCAAGUGUCCUGAGAACAUCAUCAGCUAUGUGCUGCACCUCCAGCCUGUGGGAGACAGGGUCCCAUGAGUGCCGGGCAGUGCCUCAGACUGUCUUGGACAGAGCAAGGGACCACAGAGGCCAGGCUCCAAGUGGACGGAAGCUGGGGGAGAAGACUGAACUCAUCACCCAGGUGAGGGGGAUUAAAGGGAGGGGAAAGUGGUGUGCUUGAGGCCCUGGGUCUGGGUCUGACCAUCUCCUUCCCGCUCAGGUGAUCAGCCUAAGGGCUCCCUCCCAGAUGCCACUAACUCCAGCCCUACCAAAGAAUGUACCUCACCUUUGAGUCAGAAAAGGUCCCUCAGCCCUUCUCUGGGGAGGUGCAGGACCGACCACAGGGAGAGAGAAGAGGGUGUGAUUUCUCUAUUUCUCUCUUCUCCUCAAGAAAUGGGGGGUAUCUGUGUCUUCCCCAACACACCAAAUAACCUCAAACUAAACCAGGCUCAGGUGGGAGUCCUCCCCAACUCGUUAGUCCUGCCUCCUGACCCCACUGAAUCUAUCCUCUUGAUCUAAAUAUGAACUAACCAAAGAUACCUAGCUAUAAGGGUUCCUCCCAAGAGGGGAGGCAGGGCAAGGGACUCUGUCAGUACCUCCAUGGACCAACUCCAGCCGCUAGCCUUGCUCAUGCCCAAGCUGGGGUCUGACCCCAGGAAAGGCACCCUGCAUUCCUGGUGGACUGAAUGGGCAGGUAGACAAAGGGGCUGCUCAGUAUCUUGCCCCCCUUGUCCCAACACCAGAAGAG